GUCUUAUAGAAUUAUAAUUUUAAGUCAAAUCUGCUCAAUGAUUAUUUUAAAUAGCUGCCGUAUUAAUAACUGUACAAAGGUAGCAUAAUAAUUAGUUUUUUAAUUGAAAACUAGAAUGAAUGAUUUAAUGAAAUAGAAACUGUUUCAAAUUUAAUAAUUAAAUUUUUUUUUAAAUAAAAAAAUUUAAAUAUUUUUUAAAGACGAGAAGACCCUAAGAAUUUUAAAUUUUAUUUUAAAAAUAGUUUAAAUUUAAAAUAAAUUUUUUAAUUGGGGUAAUUUUAAAAUUUAAUAAAUUUUUAAAUAAAUUUACAAGAAUUUUUGGAUAAAAAAUAUUUUUUUAAAAAAAUUAUUUUAAAUUACCUUAGGGAUAACAGCAUAAUUUUUUUUAAAAGUUCUUAUUAAAAAAAAAGUUUAU
rnacentral:rRNA from 1 species